GUGAGGAAUAUUGGUCAAUGGGCGAGAGCCUGAACCAGCCAAGUCGCGUGAAGGAAGAAGGAUCUAUGGUUCGUAAACUUCUUUUGCAGGGGAAUAAAGCGCAGGACGUGUCCUGUUUUGUAUGUACCCUGAGAAUAAGGAUCGGCUAACUCCGUGCCAGCAGCCGCGGUAAUACGGAGGAUCCGAGCGUUAUCCGGAUUUAUUGGGUUUAAAGGGUGCGUAGGUGGUUUGAUAAGUCAGCGGUGAAAGUUUGCAGCUUAACUGUAAAAAUGCCGUUGAAACUGUCGGACUUGAGUGUAAAUGAGGUAGGCGGAAUGCGUGGUGUAGCGGUGAAAUGCAUAGAUAUCACGCAGAACUCCGAUUGCGAAGGCAGCUUACUAAGCUACAACUGACACUGAAGCACGAAAGCGUGGGGAUCAAACAGGAUUAGAAACCCCUGUAGUCC
rnacentral:rRNA from 1 species